rnacentral:lncRNA from 1 species
GCAGAGCUGUGCGUGCCUGCCGAGGCUGGGCAGCAGACUUCAGACUGGAGCUUGGGGACUCCUCCAGAGAAACAGUAAGAUGAGUUACAAGCCGUGAACCUGUCUCAGUAGGACUGUCUAGUUACAGGGAGCUCCAUAUUAAGAGAAAUUGGAAGAAACCUGUAAUCCAAUCAUGAAGCCGGGGAUGGUGGGGACAUCAUUAGAGAUGCCACGGUCCAGAGGAAGGACACAUCGGCUGAUACAGCUGACCACAGGUUGGAGCAGUGCAUCUCUGGGGAACAUCCAUGAAGACCAACAGAGAAUGAGAAGGACAGAGCAGCAAAGGGCACCUGCAGGGAUGGAACAGCCACCAGGAGCCAGAUGCUUUAACUGAACUGACUUGAGUUGAACCCUCACAACAGACCCGCCAUGCAGGUACUUAUUAGAUAAGAGAGCCGAGGACCAGGAAGGCCAAAUAGCUGGCCCAGGUUCCCCCAGGUGCCAGCGGUAGGACUGCAAUUCUGCUCGUCGAAGCCCUCUCUCUUCCAACUGUGACACUUUUCUCUUAAUGCUCCAGGCCUGACGGAGGGCAGAGAUCACAGGGGGUGUAGAAAGGAGCUUUUUGUGAUGACAUAGAAAAUACCCACGCACCAUGGGGGCAGUUGGCAAGAGAGGAGAAUGUCUUGGAAAUGGGCUGGACAGCAGGGUGUUGAUUGGGGCCAAUGUCAAUGCUGGGCGUGAUCAAAGGAGGGGCAGUGUCGCCUCCAUAAGAAGGGAGAACGAAGGGCAUUUAGAGGGAGUGGAACAGCAGCUUAUUUGAGUAUUCUAUUCUGCUUAGUGUUUUUCCUUUAGGUUAACUAUUUGAUCAACUACUAAGGUAUGAGAGAAAAGAAAAGCAACAAGGAGACAUGGGGGAAGAGAGCUGGAUGGGGAGGGACGCGGCUGCACCCACACAGAUCCUGGCUCCCUGUCGCUCUCCUUCCUGCCAGCAGCUCCUGGGCCUGCCAGGCAUCCAGGGAAGCAGCUGUCUGAGCCUAAGCCCAGCUGGCAGGAACCCCCACUGACCUGGGGACCAGAGGAGGAGGUGGGCUGUGGUCUCUCCUGUCACCCUCUGUCUGCCCAGGCUGACACCUGGAGUGUCUAGAGUGGGGCCCUCAGCUGCCUGCGCUGCGGCUCACAGCACCUGAUGGACACACAGGUGUGGCGCGUCCUGCUGGGCUCAAAGACACCUGCUCUGGGCACCAUGCCCGUCCCCAUCAACAGUUGUAGAUGAGGCUGGAGCUGAGAAGAACUGACAAGCAGACGUCUGCUGAGGAGCUGGGCCCCGCCCUGAAGGAAGACAGCCCAGCCCUCCCAAAGCACAUGGUUGCCAGGUGAAAUUUGCAGUCACCAGCCGCCAGCCAUGUGGUGACAUUGGAUUUCAGGCAAUGACCUUGGGAACCCACAUUGCAUCUGCAGCAGGUGUCUGCAUUCACCUCACAUAGCACUCUGAAAAUGUUUGCCGCUGUCAGCACCACCUGAAGGGGCUUCCCCUGCAGUCCUCUUUUCCAUCCACCCUCCCCUAAUUCAGACCAUGCCAUUUCUCUAUCCUGCCGCACACCUCCACAUUUGAGUUUUCCUGCUUGGAUCUGCCUGGCCUGAUGUGUCUGGCUGCUCAGAGCCCAGAGCCUCUCCCAGCCCUUUCACAGAAGAUGAGAGAAUCCCUAACGCCUCUGCCAUUUGACCAAGACAGCUCCUUUCAACUUCCUCUUCCCCUCGGGCAAAAUCAGCAGCAGAGACAGGACUAAGCUGAGUGGCCUAAGCCCCUCCUUUGAUUCUCAGGCCCCCAGAGCCACCCAGGUGCCAGAAACCUGCUAAGACGUAUCACCAGACCCCUUGCUGAUAUCAUAAGCAUUUUUUCCCCUUCUCAGCAAAACUGACAGGACAUGGCUUCCUGGAAAGGAGGUGAGGGGAGGAGUCCCCAAGCCUGGUGAGAACAGAGGGAGUGCUGGUCGAUGGCCCCUGUUUCUCCACUGCCACCUCAAGAAGCCUUCCAAGGAGGGCAGACUAAUGCUUGCACUGGCUUGGCUAAUGGAAGAAGCCAGGGGGGCUGUGUGGAAAGAAUGGAAGAGCCCCCAGUGGGCAUAACAUACACCAAAAAGAGAGGGCACCGACCAUCUGUGUUGACAGAGAAGGACAUCCCUCAGUAGCCAUCACCGAAAAGCAGGCACUUCAUGUCUGCCCUGAAACCAUCACUAUGAACAAAGAGCUCAUCAAAGAAAGGGAAUUUUUAUAGACACCCUAUAGAGGAGUGAUUUUGAUUCCUAAUCUGUCCAUUACGGCCCCCCGAGAAGUAGGUAUAAAAAGAUGAUAUGCGGCCGGGCGCGGUGCCUCCUGCCUGUAAUCCCAGCACUUUGGGAGGCUGAGGCGGGCGGAUCACAAGGUCAGGAGAUUGAGACCAUCCUGGUUAACACGGUGAAACCCCUUCUCUACUAAAAAUACAAAAAAUUAGCCGGGUGUGGUGCCAGGUGCCUGCAGUCCCAGCUACUCGGGAGGCUGAGGCAGGAGCAUGGCAUGAACCUGGGAGGCAGAGAUUGCAGUGAGCCAAGAUCGCACCACUGCACUCCAGCCUGAGCGACAGAGUGAGACUCUGACUCAAAAAAAAAAAAAAAAAAGGUAUGCAGUGUGGUCCCUGACAGCAGGUUUGAGCUCCCUUGCAAGGAGAACUCCAGCAUUUAAUGCAGAAGAGGCAAGAGUCAACUUGGGUGUUCUUCCUUCCCAGUCUUAGCUCUGAGUGUAGAAAAUCCAGGUACAUUCCUCCCGAAAUGCUGUUCUGGUGAGUGGAUGCAGAGAGGCUGCCCACCACUGUGUUAUCACAGAUGCCACCCUGGCAUGAGAUGCAAGGGAAGUAGAGGCAGCCAUCUGGGGAUGGGAUUACUGGGAAGCCCACAGGCCUCACAAGCCAGAGGCACCAUGGUUUCUUGACUUGGACGUGGCCUCUCAAAUGCUGGAGGAUGUCCAGCCCACAGCCUUUGGUGAUGCUCUCCUGGCCUUAUUUAGAAUUCUUAAUGCUGGCAAACAACUUUUAUAAAAUUAUCCAUUUGUAUUUGGAUGCAUACAUAAAAAUAUCCUUUAUCUGUAUUUGGUUAAUAAAACUAGUCUUGCUCUGCCUGUAUUUAGCGGUGCCAGCUAUCCUGGACUCUGUUUGUGUGCCUGUGUAUGUGUGUGUGUGUUUCAUUGUUUCUAUUCCAAUCAUAUCACUAAUAAAUGUCUAUGUAUAACAAACUCAUGCAGAGGAGCAGUGAGCAGAUUAUUAUCCUGCAUUCUAUUGACUCCUUAUCACCCCUUUCCCUGCCCUGCUCAAGCCCCUAGAUAUUGAUGGGUGUGACUGAGCUAGGCCAUCCUCUGCUGUUAGGCAAAACUGUGUUCCUGUGUGGGCAUACCACGUCCCAGGAGUCGACGACUCACUUUUGCCCUGAGGGUCCCCAGUGAGGAUGCACGUAUGCCUAUGGCAGGCAGGGAGAGCUGAUGCCUGGUUGGCAUGAGCACCUGAAUUAGUGUUGGCCACAUAUGGAUGGCCAUGCUGGUGGGCAGAGGCAGAGGUCAGGGGGCACAAGAAGAGUGGAAAGGAGAUCCCAGAGAAGAAGCACAUGGAGUGGGAAAGGCACGCUUCCAGGUUAGGGCUGGUCUGCAGACACACAUGCCCCGUGGUUGGGCUGGGGAGACGGGUUGGGGUGGAGAGGGAAAUGGGGGUGGGGAGUAACACGUGCAAAGGUGGAAAUCAUGAACCAGGUUUUAAGUCCUUUGGCUCCGUGUUAUGUAUACAGAAGGCACAGAGAAAAGAAUAUGGGAAGUUAAGACUGGGCUGUUUGGGUGGGCAAGGAAGGAGCUUACCAAAAACUGUCCCAGGAGACCCUCUGAGAUGGCCCAAGACCCUCAAAGAAAGUGGCCCACCAUCCUCAGCUACCUCUUCUCUAACUUUCGGUAUCUUACAGCUAUUCCUGUAUCUCCCUAAUCUCAAAUCACUUCUUGUGAGAGUUUCCUGCCAAUGAUGUCAGUACCGCUUAGAUGUAGGAGCAUAUUUCUGGACACAGUUCCCUGAAUAAAGACUUGGGAUAGAAAAUUAAUCCUCCCCCUAGGAGUUCAUAAAACUGGGGCACCGAGGGGACUGAUGGCUAAAACCAAAGUUGCAGUGAGCCUGGAAGGGAAGCAGCCACUUGGGAGGGAGCCUUAAACUCGAGUGGGGACGGAGACAGUGGCCAAAGAUGUUCACAGCCGUCCUUGAAAGGGAUGAAUUAAAGAGAAGGCAUCAAGGACAGUAACUCCUUUAUCAAAGCCCAUGGCUGGGCCUCUCUGAUCAGCCCCUGCCUCCUGACACACAAACACACACACAUACACACACUCACACACACAGUCUAGACCACACCUAGCCACUGAAGAGUGCUUUAAUCCAUGAAAACACACUGAGAAAUAACUCUGGGGAAACUUGAUUGGGAAGGUAAGCCUGAUGUGAAAAACUGCAAUCAUGCAUCCAAAGCCAAAAAGACAUGAUCUUUUGAUUAUCUGUGCCACUACUCUGAUUAAUGAUUGUUGGCCAUCGCCUCUAGAUUGACACCUGCAUUAUUUUUGUCCCAGCCUGGCUUAUCUCCUAUCAGUCAACGCAUCACCCACACUCCCACCAGCUGUACUCAAGGUGGUCAGGCACAUGAGAAUGCUUUGGGAAAGAUUUACAUCACGUGACCUGUCAUGUGGCACUACAUUAGGGCUGCAGGACCAGCUAUUGAGCAAAGGUAUCACCCCUUCCAGCAAUGAGCUUCAAUUUUCCAAUCCAAAAGAAGCAGAAACAAAUGGCUAAAACCAAGUCAGAGAUGAUAACCUUGAGUGGCUCUGCUGUUUUGAUGUUUACAUUUUCCCAGAAUAAACUGUAUACCAUUCAGUAUCACCACACAGAUCACACACGUGGCGUGGCCUGGGCCCUGUUUACUCAAGCAGUUUCUUCUUCAUUGAAGGAGUCCCUCCUGUUCCUUUAGGAUUUGUGGAUGACAGUCCUCUGAAGGAGGUCAGGUAGAUCUAUGCAGAUCCUUCCUCCCAGUGGCAUCAGCUCAGCUACUGCACCACAGCCUUCAGGCAGGAGUGGAAGCCCCCACACCAAGCAACGUGUCCUCUCUAUCUUCAUUACCUCCAAGGUCUGAUGUUACUCACCCUCUCCCA